rnacentral:rRNA from 1 species
UACGAAGGGGGCUAGCGUUGUUCGGAAUUACUGGGCGUAAAGCGCACGUAGGCGGAUAUUUAAGUCAGGGGUGAAAUCCCGGGGCUCAACCUCGGAACUGCCUUUGAUACUGGGUAUCUUGAGUAUGGAAGAGGUAAGUGGAAUUGCGAGUGUAGAGGUGAAAUUCGUAGAUAUUCGCAGGAACACCAGUGGCGAAGGCGACUCACUGGACACAUAUUGACGCUGAGGUGCGAAAGCGUGGGGAGCAAACAGG